rnacentral:lncRNA from 1 species
CUGUUUUACAGGCUUGUUCUAAGCUGUUUCUUGUUCUAAGCUGCUUUGACCUCAAGCAAACACAGAGGAAUGUGGGGGACACAUCAUAGAAGACACUUCCUGAUGAAGAGGAAGGAGGGAUAAACAGGAACACCGUAAAGAAAAGAAGGGAUCUAAUUCCAGCUUGAAGACACACAUUUUUUUCAUCGUUCACCAGACAGCAGGACACGGGCAGCAGAGUGCAGACAUCAGAAACAGUAAGAGUGGCAGUGGUCCCCUGAGUAAGGGAUGCACAAUGACCUAUUAUAGAGUUUAGGAAAAAUAGAACUUUUAUUCAUAUGUAUUUUGUUUUGUUUUGUUUUGUUUGGGUUUGGGUUUGUUUGUUUGUUUGCUUGUUUUUUGAGACGGAGUCUCACUCUGUCACCCAGGCUGGAGUGCACUGAUGUGAUCUUGGCUCACUGCAACCUCCGCCUCCCGGGUUCAAGUGAUUCUCCUGCCUCAGCCUCCCGAGUAGCUGGGACUACAGGAGCACACCACUACACCCAGCUAAUUUUUAUAUUUUUAGUAGAGAUGGCGGGUCGGCGCGGGGGAGGUCUCACCAUGUUGGCCAGGCAGGUCUCGAACUCCUGACCUCAAAUGAUCCACCCACCUUGUCCUCCCAAAGUGCUGGGAUUACAGGCGUGAGACACCAUGCCCAGCCCAGUGCUAGAAUAUUAAGUGGAAAAAUCAGCCCACAAAACUGUGAUAUAAAAUUUGAUAUCCACUAUGUAAAAGAAAAAACAUAUAGAAAAGAGACAUAAAGAAAUGAUGAUAGGGCCGGGCGCUGUGUCUCACGCCUGUAAUCCCAGCACCUUGGGAGGCCGAGGCGGGCGGAUCACGAGGUCAGGAGAUCGAGACCAUCCUGGCUAACAUGGUGAAACCCCG